rnacentral:tRNA from 1 species
GGUUAUGGCUCAGUGGUAGAGCAUUCGCCUCACAUGUGCAAGGCUAGGGUUCGAUCUCAGCACCA